UUUGAAAUCUGAUCCCUUCGGGGUCCGAGUUGUAAUUUGUAGAGGGUGCUUCGGGCUUGGCCUAGGUCUAAGUUCCUUGGAACAGGGCGUCAUAGAGGGUGAGAAUCCCGUAUGAGACCGGCGAUCCAGCCCAUGUGAAGCCCCUUCGACGAGUCGAGUUGUUUGGGAAUGCAGCUCAAAAUGGGUGGUAAAUUUCAUCUAAAGCUAAAUACGGGCCAGAGACCGAUAGCGAACAAGUAGAGUGAUCGAAAGAUGAAAAGCACUUUGGAAAGAGAGUUAAACAGUACGUGAAAUUGUUGAAAGGGAAGCGCUUGCAAUCAGACCUGCCCGUGGGUGAUCUGUCGGGGCUCGUUCCCGGCAACCUUCACCCAUGAUCAGGCCAGCAUCGGUUUGGGCGGUGAGAUAAAAGCCCCUGGAAUGUAGCUUCUCUCGGGGAGUCUUAUAGCCUGAGGUGUCAUGUUGCCAGCCUGGACCGAGGACCGCGCUUCGGCUAGGAUGCUGGCGUAAUGAUUCUAAGCGACCCGUCUUGAAACACGGACCAAGGAGUCUAACAUCUAUGCGAGUGUUUGGGUGUUAAACCCGGGCGCGGAAUGAAAGUGAACGGAGGUGGGAGCCCGUCAAACGGCGCACCAUCGACCGAUCCAGAUGUUUUCGGAUGGAUUUGAGUACGAGCAUAGCUGUUGGGACCCGAAAGAUGGUGAACUUUGCUUGUAUAGGGUGAAGCCAGAGGAAACUCUGGUGGAGGCUCGCAGCGGUUCUGACGUGCAAAUCGAUCGUCGAAUAUGAGCAAAGGUCAGUUGGAAAGGACCUACGUUUAGGGGCUACGCUAACUAAAUUUUUAACAGGGGCGAAAGACCAAUCGAACUAUCUAGUAGCUGGUUCCUGUCGAAGUUUCCCUCAGGAUAGCAGUAACGUUUUCAGUUUUAUGAGGUAAAGCGAAUGAUUAGAGGCCUUGGGGUUGAAACAACCUUAACCUAUUCUCAAACUUUAAAUAUGUAAGAAGUCCUUGUUACUUAGUUGAACGUGGACAUUUGAAUGCACCGUUACUAGUGGGCCAUUUUUGGUAAGCAGAACUGGCGAUGCGGGAUGAACCGAACGCGAGGUUAAGGUGCCGGAAUGCACGCUCAUCAGACACCACAAAAAGUGUCAAUUCAUCCAGACAGCCGGACGGUGGCCAUGGAAGUCGGAACCCGCUAAGGAGUGUGUAACAACUCACCGGCCGAAUGAAUUGGCCUUGAAAAUGGAUGGCGCUCAAGCGUGCUACCCAUACCUCG
rnacentral:rRNA from 1 species